GGGUCGCGCGGGCCCCGUCGGGGCAGUGGGGCACCGACCGCGGGGGCGCUCGGCGGCCCCGGGCCGUGAGGCGGUACCGCCCCCCGAGGGGAAACGCGGCCCGGCACCGAACCGCGACCACCCCGCGCCUGCUGUCCCCUCCGAACCGUCCCGCAGACGGGCUCUGCAACGUUAACGACGCCGACGUCGGCUGCCCCCUCCGUCCCCCGCCCCGUGGGGGCAAAGGCCCGGCCCUGCCGCGCGCCGUGCCUCCUCGCGCGGCCCCGCUGAGGGGGUUAGAAACCCGUAACUAUUCCUGCGAGAGACUGGAAGAGAGAAAGGCUGCAGAAGGGCUAUUUCCCAUCGAUAGGCUACUGAUAGCUGUUAAUGUGGAAGUAAAUAUCCAAGAAAUUGCUUAAAGGUUUAAAAGUGACUUCUGAUUGGAAUCACCUGGAAAAAAUGGGCAACACCUGGAAAAUCUGCUUGAUAGUGAUCUACAGCUACUUCCUGAAAUGGCACAGGUUUGGAGGUGUCUGUAUUUUCAUGAGAGAAGACAAAAGAAGAAAGCAAAUCAUUCUUGGGAGCUGUUUUUCAGAAGGUAGUCCUGUGGUGGUUAUAUGAAAUGAUUUGCGUCUUCAAGAACAGUACAUAUUUUUAUCUCAUUUGUUGUGUCAUAAUUUUAAUUGAUUGCAGUAACAUUUUCCUUUACUCUUUGAAGUAUAUAGUAAUAUUCCUGUCAUGAAGUAAGAGUCCACAUUGGCCUGUGAGUUUCAAAUCUACUGGACUUGUUGAGGUAGUUACCUGAUAAUCUUUCUGAUAAGGAAUUAAUAAAAGGUUGAGAAUACAGCCUUUUAAAACUUGUUUCUUAUAUAGACACAUCUUAUGUGAGAGAUCGGA